UACGUAGGGGGCAAGCGUUGUCCGGAUUCAUUGGGCGUAAAGAGCGUGUAGGCGGCCAGGUAGGUCGGUUGUGAAAACUGGAGGCUCAACCUUCAGACGUCGACCGAAACCACCUGGCUAGAGUCCGGGAGAGGAGAGUGGAAUUCCUGGUGUAGCGGUGAAAUGCGCAGAUAUCAGGAAGAACACCAAUGGCGAAGGCAGCUCUCUGGGACGGUACUGACGCUGAGACGCGAAAGCGUGGGGAGCGAACAGG
rnacentral:rRNA from 1 species